rnacentral:tRNA from 1 species
GGCCUUAUAUUCAUUUGGUGAUACUAGACUGCAAUGUUAGUGGGGUAUAAUUUACUAAGGCUU